GACCGCUUGGUGUAGGUGGAACAUCCCAGGCUCAUGUCCUGGGGAAGGGGGUUCGAGUCCCUCAGCGGUUG